rnacentral:rRNA from 1 species
GACAGAGGGUGCAAGCGUUGUUCGGAAUCAUUGGGCGUAAAGCGCACGUAGGCGGUCGCGUAAGUCCGACGUGAAAGCCCUGGGCUCAACCCAGGAAGUGCAUCGGAUACUGCGCGACUUGAGUCCCGGAGAGGGUGGUGGAAUUCCUGGUGUAGAGGUGAAAUUCGUAGAUAUCAGGAGGAACACCGGUGGCGAAGGCGACCACCUGGACGGAGACUGACGCUGAGGUGCGAAAGCGUGGGGAGCAAACAGG